GAUGAACGCUAGCGGCAGGCUUAACACAUGCAAGUCGAGGGGUAUAGGAAGCUUGCUUCCUAGAGACCGGUGCACGGGGGCGUAACGCGUAUGAAGCCUACCUUUUACAGAGGGAUAGCCCAGAGAAAUUUGGAUAAAGAAAGAAUAGUAUAUGUUUUUCGCAUGUUAGCCAAAUUAAAGUAACAACGGUAAAAUAUGGGGCUGCGUCCUAUUAGCUAAUUCGUAAGGUAACGGCUUACCAAGGCAACGAUGGGUAGGGGUUCUGAGAGGGAGAUCCCCCACACUGGUACUGAGACACGGACCAGACUCCUACGGGAGGCAGCAGUGAGGAAUAUUGGACAAUUGGCGCAAGCCUAAUCCAGCCAAGCAGCGUGCAGGAAGAAGCAUCUAUGGUGCGUAAACUGCUUUUGUACGGGAAGAAACACUCCCACGUGAGCGAGCUUGACGGUACCGUAAGAAUAAGGAUCGGCUAACUACGUGCCAGCCGCCGCUGUAACAC
rnacentral:rRNA from 1 species